UACGUAGGGGGGCAAGCGUUGUCCGGAUUUAUUGGGCGUAAAGAGCGUGUAGGCGGCCAGACAGGUCCGUUGUGAAAACUCGAGGCUCAACCUCGAGAUGUCGAUGGAAACCGUCUGGCUAGAGUCCGGAAGAGGAGUGUGGAAUUCCUGGUGUAGCGGUGAAAUGCGCAGAUAUCAGGAGGAACACCAAUGGCGAAGGCAGCUCGCUGGGACGUGACUGACGCUGAGACGCGAAAGCGUGGGGAGCAAACAGG
rnacentral:rRNA from 1 species